UAAGGAAUAUUGGACAAUGGUCGCAAGACUGAUCCAGCCAUGCCGCGUGCAGGAUGACAGCCCUAUGGGUCGUAAACUGCUUUUUGUGCGAGAAAAAACCCCUCUACGUGUAGAGGGCUGAUUGUAUCGUAAGAAUAAGGAUCGGCUAACUCCGUGCCAGCAGCCGCGGUAAUACGGAGGAUCCAAGCGUUAUCCGGAUUCAUUGGGUUUAAAGGUGCGUAGGCGGAAUGAUAAGUCAGUGGUGAAAGCCUGCAGCUUAACUGCAGAACUGCCAUUGAUACUGUCAAUCUUGAGUACAUUUGAUGUGGCGGAAUGUGUCAUGUAGCGGUGAAAUGCUUAGAUAUGACACAGAACACCGAUUGCGAAGGCAGCUCACAAAACUGUAACUGACGCUGAGGCACGAAAGCGUGGGUAUCAAACAGGAUUAGAUACCCCGGUAGUCCCUGAGCGGGC
rnacentral:rRNA from 1 species